GAUGAACGCUGGCGGCGUGCCUAAUACAUGCAAGUCGAGCGAACAGACGCGGCGCUUGCUCCUCUGACGUUUGCGGCGGACGUGUGUGUAACACGUGGAUCCCCUCCCUAUAAGUCUGGUAUAACUUCGGGACUCCGGAGCUUAUACCGUAUAAUCUAUUGAACCGUAUGGUUCAAUAGUGAAUGACGGUUUUGCUGUCUCUUCUCGCUGGAUCCGCGCCGCAUUAGCUAGUUGGUAAGGUAACGGCUUACCAAGGCAACGAUGCGUAGCCGACGUGAGAGGGUGAUCGGCGACACUGGAACUGAGACACGGUCCAGACUCCUGAGGGAGGCAGCAGUAGGGAAUCUUCCGCAGUAGGCGAAAGCUUGACGGAGCAACGCCGCGUGAGUGAUGAAGGUCUUCGGAUCGUAAAACUCUGUUAUUAGGGAAGAACAAAUGUGUAAGUAACUAUGCACGGCGUGACGGUACCUAAUCAGAAAGCCACGGCUAACUACGUG
rnacentral:rRNA from 1 species